CCUACGGGAGGCAGCAGUGAGGAAUAUUGGUCAAUGGGCGCGAGCCUGAACCAGCCAAGUAGCGUGAAGGAUGACUGCCCUACGGGUUGUAAACUUCUUUUAUAAUGGAAUAAAGUGCGGCACGUGUGCUGUUUUGUAUGUACUUUAUGAAUAAGGAUCGGCUAACUCCGUGCCAGCAGCCGCGGUAAUACGGAGGAUCCGAGCGUUAUCCGGAUUUAUUGGGUUUAAAGGGAGCGUAGGUGGGUGGUUAAGUCAGUUGUGAAAGUUUGCGGCUCAACCGUAAAAUUGCAGUUGAUACUGGGUGCCUUGAGUGCAGUUGAGGUAGGCGGAAUUCGUGGUGUAGCGGUGAAAUGCUUAGAUAUCACGAAGAACCCCGAUUGCGAAGGCAGCUU
rnacentral:rRNA from 1 species